AAAACUUUCCAAUGUGGGAAANCAGGUCAAGGGUAAUCGGAGUGGUGCGUCAUAAACGAACCUUUUGGCAGUCUAAGAAACACUGUUGAAUAAGGGGUGGGCAAGUUCGGGUGUCGGCCGCCGCGGUAAAACCAGCACCUCAAGUGGUCUGGAUGAUUAUGGGUCUUAAAGCUUCGGUAGCGGUUUGGUUAAGUUUUCGGGAAAUUCGGUACGUUCAAUGUUCGGGCUUCCGGGAAUACUGCAGAGCUAGGGAGUGGGAGAGGUAGGCGGUACUCGGUAGGAAGGGGUAAAAUCCUGUGAUCUAUUGAUGACCACCUGUGGCGAAGGCGGUCUACCGGAACACGUCCGACGGUGAGGGAUGAAGCUGGGGGAGCAAACCGGAUUAGAACCCGGGUAGUCCCACCUGUAAACU
rnacentral:rRNA from 1 species